CUCGACCCCAGGUUAGGUGGGGUUACCCGUUGAAUUUAA
rnacentral:rRNA from 1 species